GGCACAGUGAAGUGGUUGAGUUUUGGAUUACAACUCUGGAGACCAGGGUUCAAAUCUCUGCUUAGCCA